GGGUCAUUUUGUACUUGUGUGGGCUGCUAGGGUUUCAGGUGAAACCCUAAUUCUCUGCUUGGGCCUAAAGCAACCCAUGGAGUCCCUCUAGAAAUCCCUUGGAUGAAAUCCAUAUGGGCUUCCCAUAGAUUUCGUCCAAUCCCCUUUCCAUUAGGAAUCCAUAGCCCAGGUGCAACUAUCAUAUAAUUGCAAUAUCCGUCCCCUUUAUUUAAUUAAUCUCUUUUAGCCACAAAAUUAAUUCUUAUUAAUUCUUCACUAAUAUUAAUUAAAGAAUAUGAUUUCUCUUUUAAUAUGUUAUUCAUAUAAUAUAUUAAUAAAUCAUAAUUAAUCCUCUUUCUCCUUCAUUCAUCCUAUCAGUUGCUAUGGUGAAGACAACCCAAAAGGACCAUCCUCACAAUCGGGCCAAGUACAUACCAAAAUAGUUAUGGGCUUAUACACCUAAUCCAACAGUCUCCCACUUGGAUACAUCUAAUAACUAUUCUGCAUAUGACUUCGGAACCUUAUCAGCAAUCGUAGCUUUCAAAACCCGUUGUCAAACUCUGAUCUUAUCAGAAAUGUGUCCUUUAGAUAAGGGAUCAUAUACUCCUCCAUUCUAGAUAUCGUAUAAACAUGAGACAUGGAUUAUAACCAUUCUCUCAGUCUAUGUGAUGUUUCCUGAUUUCCGAUUUAUGAUGACUGACAACAUACUACAAUUGAACACAUCAACUCGGUCCCAACUUGGCCAACCACUUAGGGUGUCAUCACUAAAUCAUCGAGGGGACUACAUAUAUUGCUUUUGUCCCAUUUUGGGGUAAAAGGAACGGAUAAACUUUGAAUCAAAUGCUUGCUUGUACCUUCUCAUCAAAUCACACACAACAAUAUGUUUUAUAACACCAAGUUACUGGUGCGUUUACAUAUUAUCAAUGUGCAACCAACUUGCAGAAUACAACUCACACGUAUCGGUUAUAUGAUAUUAUCGUCUCACUAAUCACCCGAGAUAAAAUCCAUGAAGUGAUUCAAGUGAGCGUAGGUUUAAUCCAAUGCUCAAAUCAUAUUCAUAAGCAGUCAUGAACGUUGAAACAAACAUUUGCUAUGUCUAAUACACUUUAGGCAAUCUACAAACCAAUUCAUGACAGCCUUCUUUCAUACCUACUUCCAAAGCAUAAGUGACUAUGGAUGGUUUAAAUAAUCUUAUUAUUUGGGAAGUCAAAACAUGCAAAGUGAAACACAAUAAUAAUUGAAUCCAAUACGGACCCAAAAUUUUGAGUAUAAAUAAAACUCCUUUUAUUUAGUCACCAUAUUGAUUACACAUUAUUCAUUGUAUACUGUUUCGGAUAAUCAACUUAUUACUUGAAUCAUAACAGCAGUUGUCCCAUGCACCAAGCAUGCACACUCUAUUUACAUAUGAUCCAUACUUUGUGAAAUAGAUCAAUUGAAAAUAUUUCCAAUGAUACUCAUUUCACAAGUACUAAUCCUUAUCGUUAGUGUAAGAACCCAAAAUUCUCGCCACUACUAGAAUAUGUUAGAUUCUAACAUUUGAUGCAACGAUCCUUUCGUAAUGUCAUAACACUAAAGCCACCAAGACUUUGCCAAUGAUAUUACAAGGUGCUCUAUUGGAGAUUGUUAUAAGACAAUUCCAUAGAUGUGAAGUCUCACAUUCAAAGUACAUUCCUUUGAACACCCUUCUUGCAUAAAAGUUUCUAAUCUAGACAUAAAUACUUAACGUCCAACUCCUAAUAUGGAAACAUUUCCAUAUUUUCCACAUGACAACUUAUUGUGAAUAGAGUCUUAUCUAUUAAUAGUAAUGUCGAUAUGGUCCAUUCAUUACUAUACUUCCAACUGCUCACAAGCGACCAAACCUUAGUGAACCUUAGAUUGUCGUUAACAGUUGUUCAAUUAUUUUAGUCAAUCCGGUUCUAGUCCCUUUUCCCUCUUAAUGCCCUAGGCAUUUGGAAAAUUUUAGAACGGUCGAAUAUUACAACAAAUGCAAUCGAUCCUAUACCCAAAGCGUAUGGGACACGAUUCAUAAUGAAAAACGUGAUACUUUACCAGUUCCUUGCUAUAAUAUUUCCAUAUAUAGAAUCCUUUCAAGUUGAAUCUUUUCAACAUGACAUCCAUAUAUGUCCUUUGACUAAAUUUAAUUAAAAUUUCUCGAUCUAAGCCUUUAGAUUUGAAAUGAAGUAUAAUAUUAUCUCCCUUAAUUAUAGCAAAAUAACUAUUCAACCUUUUCAAAUUGAAACUUUGUUUUUCUAUAAUUAAUAUUGCUAAUUUGCAACACUUAAAAUAAUAAUCAUGCUUAAAAUAAUAAUCAUGCUCCCAGUAACAUGAUAAUUAUCUUUAUACCAACAUAACACUUAUGCUCCCACUAGCUUUAACACAUAUUCAGAAAACAGUUGGACUUCUUGAAAUCAAUACUUAUUGACUUCCAACGUUCAUAUUUCUAAUACGAUAUGCUUCGAUAAGCCUUUAUCUAAACUUCUCAACCUCAUACACCUUUCCUUAGAAAGCUAAUAUGUGUGUUUAAACCAUUUUAGAACUUAUAGGAAUAAGUCUUAAAUGUUCAAACUAAUUGCCAAAUCUCAAUUCGAACUAUGAAGAGGGAUGCCAUAAUCAUAAUUAAAUUUGAGAAUGCAAUUUACACAAUCGCUAUCUCCUUAAAAUCUCUCUUAGUGAAAGCGUUUCCUCACAAUCAUUUUCAUGAAGUAGAGAAACCUUAUGACACUUAGAUUUUAUGGUGUAUGUGCUCUUAUCCAUGUGAAUUUGUCAUAACCAUAAUCAUAAGACAAGGUUUAAGACAAAUCCAAACUCAUAUGGACUGAACUUGUUCAUUCUUAAUUUCUUGCCAUCAAGGGUCCCACCAUUGCUUCCACGUUAUUUAGCAGCUCACAUAUACUAGUCAAUGUACUUUCAUUGAACAAGGUUCUUGCCUUUAUGCAGUCUAUUAAGAACUCGUAGAACUCAUAUGCAUAAGUAACUUUACUGGAAUGGCACAAAAACAAGAGUAUGUCAACACGAUAGGUUACAAACCAGUCUUGUGCUAGUGUUUAAUAGGUUUACUCUUGAUUAGUUCUUGAACCUUUUCAAGAUUAUUUAGACUCCCACUGACCUCUUGACAUAUAAGAUUCUCUUGUCAAGAAACAUUUCUUGAGAAACAAAUAUUCAGGAGUUAAUGCGGAUUCUUAUCAAGACAAACACUACACACAGUUGAUAUUAGUUGGUCUUUAUGUUAUCCAAGACAUCACGAUUUACCAAUUUCAAACGUGCAAGAGUAAGAAAAACAAUUUUUUGCUUCACAUUUGAUGAGUGUGUUAAAAACUUCUUAAGAUGUGUCACUCAAGUCACAAUCUUGGAGUAUGACUCUAAGACUUGAUUUUGGAACGAAGUAUGAUUCACCUAUUGAUUUAACCAUUUCAACAAUUUCUGAUUCCUCUUCUUAGCCAUACCAGUGCACUAAGGUUUACCUAGAGGAUGAAUUGUGAUAUGGUUUCACAAUCAACAAGACGAUCAUAAAACAUGAUAGAAAAGUACUCUCCCUUCUUUCCAGAUUGGAGAAACUUUUAUCUUUCUGCCUAGUUUAUUCUUUUUAUUCGUUCUGCUAUUAUUGAAACUUUUCAAUAAUUUAGAAUUAUACUUAAUCUUGUAAGCAUAACCAUAUUUACUAGACUUUCUAGUAAAUCAUGACGAAUAGUCUUAUUGUUAAUUGUGGUGGACAUGACCAGUGCGCAACCUUGUGUUCUAGUCCUUUAGUCUUUCACUUGACUCACAUACUUGUGUGAUCAAGGAAUUAGUCUUAAUUUCCUAAAUACCAAGAUUUCCAUACACCACAUGAUUCAAAUCAUAUGAUUACAAGCUUCUGUCCAACUGAGAUUUGGGCGAUGGGAAUCUUUCCUUACUUAGAAAAAUAAUGACACUACCAUAAAUAACAUAACUCAGAAUCAUAUCCACUUAAUAUUUCUUACAAUAGAAACACACAAGCAUCAAUUUUCACAAAUAACAUUGCAAGGAUAUAUAAAUAAGACAAAACUCAAAAUUUAUUUUAUUUAUAAAAAAGGUGCGGACAAACUUGUCCUUACAAUGCAAAUUCAAAUGAAAACUAUGAUAUUUCAUAUUCCUAAACAAUCUAUCAUAACUCUAAAAGUAGCUGCUUCAAAAAUCUGAUCAUCGAAUCAUGCGAUCAAAAUCCAUUUCUUCGCGAUCAGACUCAGCUCACUUCUUCCUUUAAACUUCCUUUCUUUUCUUUAAUCCUACAAAAUGCAAUCUUAUUACAUCAUGUAUUAAGAAUCUAAAAAAUAGGAACUUAAUACAGUUUGAUAGUGGAUUUUACCAGAAGCAGAGUCAUACAUCUUGACUCUCCCAUCUCUUAGAUCUCUCAGGUAGUCAGGGCCGCUUCGUAACCAAUGCCCCUUCUUUUGGCAGUAGAAACAUAUGGAUUCUUCUGGAAUGUUACACAUGACUAUCUCAGACCCAGCCUUUCUCUUGCGUAGAAAAAACUUUUCUGGACUUCCAAUGUUUCCAUUUCUUGUAGAAGGUUGGGAUAUUGAUUUACCAGACAAAUUUGCUUGACCAGUGUGCCAAAUCAUCUCUCACUCAGCAGCAAUAAGCAAAUAAGUCAAAUCAAUGAGGGUCACGUCGUGGUCCAUCAUAUAGUUCUCUCUAAUGAACUCACUAUAUGAUUAGGGAAGUGACUGAAGAACCAAGUCAACACCCAACUUCCUUGAGACAUCGACACGCAACAUUCCCAAUCUAUCAAUAUGCAACUUCAUAUCCAAGACAUGAGCACAUACAGACUUUCCAUCUUUGUGUUUGUUUGCCAACAACGCUUGAGUGACCUUGAACUUUUCAAGUCUUCAAACACGUGGGUCAGGGAGAAUAAUUGGAGGAGCUGGAGGAAGUGAAACAUGAUUUCCAUUUCCACAAUUGAAUCCUAGAACAUCACCUUCAAGCAGAAAACUUUUUCUAACGGAUUCAAAAAGACCAUAGUUGAUAGAUUUUGACAUCUACAAAACAGGAGAAAUUCAAGUUAGUUGAUUGGAAUCCUUGAUAUAACACCUAAAUGAAAUAUCAAGGCUAGGACCCAACACAAUAUCCUACAAUAUGGAAAAGGGAUGUCGUAAUCCAAAUUGCAGAACAUUUGAAGGUAGGUAAAUGAUGAUUUACCAAUUUCCACCAUGAAAAACGAAAAUUGAAAAUUAAGUUUUAAAUGAAUUGAAACUCCUAGAUCUUUUUCGAUUCAUUGAACUUUUCAAUGACAUGUUUAAAUCUCGAGUGUACCCUUUGUGACUGGGAUGCCAAGGAUCACAAAAAAGUUGUGGAUAACCAUGCAAAUAUACAUGGUGCCCCCAAUGUUACAGUCACCGAAUCGACAUGUCGGUUAACCAUACAUGCCCCAUCGAUCUAUGACAAACAUCGAGUCACCCUUUUGCCACAUUUGCUUAGAGCCCAAUUAGUGUGCCGGUUAACCACACACGCUCCACUAACGUCUUAGCAAGGGUACAAAGUGUAAUUUCAUGGAAUAGCACCAACUCCACAUUUUUCCUAAAGUAACUAAGAUUUGGGAAUUUAUAAAAGUGUUUAGUUACUUCGUACCUCAUUAUACUUAUAAUGGAAGAUUGCGUUCUAUCCUACCCGUUUGGCUAACGACCCUCUACUAGUCAAGAGUGAAUAGUCAUUCAAUCGCCAUUUUAUAGGCAAUUUCCUUAAACACCCCUUAGAGACUAGCUCCGUGAAUGAGGCAUACUAACGGUAAGACUGACUCUUUACUCAUACAUAUAUAUAAUAUUAGACUUUUAAUUUUAUAUAUAGUAUAAGGGUGUAUUUUACACUUUUAAAAUACUAGGUGGUUUAAUCUAAUGACAAAUUAUACUUUUAAUUUGAUUAACUUAAACCAUGUCAUUAUGGAUUUAUUAACUCUCUUUUAAUUAUACAUUUAAUUAACUUAAUAAAACCAUAAGGGUUUAAUUUGAACUUUUCAAAAUACUAGGGUUUAGAAUUUAAUAUUUCAAAAUUAAACUCUUAAUCAAAAUUUUAAAUUCCAAAACUUGAGGACAAAUUUUGAAACUUUUCAAAACUUUAAGGAUUAGAAUUUAAAUAUUUCAAAAUUAAACUUUUAAUUAAAAAUUUAAAUUCCAAAACUUGAGGGCAAGUUUUGAAACUUUUCAAAACUUCCUAGAUCAAAUUACAAAUAAUUCAAUUAAUCAAAUAAUUAGUGAUUAUCUAAAUUUGACCUAUUCCAAUGUCCUUACAAGAUAAUUCAAAUCAAAACUACAAAUAAUUAAUCUUUAUCUCAUAAAACAAGUAAUUAUCUUAAUUUUUACAAUUAUAUACUAUUUGGAUUAGGAUAAUCAAUACCAUAAUGAAAAAUCGGAUUUUCUCUGGAAAGACAAUUUAUGUUAAUUAUCCAAAUCAAAAUAUGGCAAAAAUUUCGAGAUUAGCUUUCAGAAAUGAGCUCACGUCGUGAGCCUGGCCAGAACCCAAAAAACGAAAUUUUUUUAAUCUUUGAAUGAUCAAACAAAGCAUCAAAUACAUUAGAUAAACAACCUAAGCUCUGAUACCACUGAUGAGUUAUGAGCACUACAUCAAUCCUAUUGUGUACAUGCAAACCCUAAAGCUUUGGAUCUAGUUUGUCUAAUGAGCAUGCAAUAAUCAUCUAAAGCUCAUAUACCCUAGAUCUAGCAUAUAAUAAUCGAUAUUAUCAUAAUAAAAGGGUUUAGAUAUUAACUUGGUUGCUAUGUAGUAAUAACAAUCUCAAUUCCUCUUGAUCUUGAGUUUUAAAAGCUUGGUGCCUCAAAUGUUGCACCUCUAAUGGAGUCACGAACACCAUGAGCAACAAGAUGACUUAGGAGAAGGAGGAGGAGGCUCCAAAAAAAACUUCUAGGGUUCUCUUAGAAGUGUUAGCCACGUUUUUAUGAGCCAUAGGGGUCAUUUUGUACUUGUGUGGGCUGCUAGGGUUUCAGGUGAAACCCUAAUUCUCUGCUUGGGCCUAAAGCAACCCAUGGAGUCCCUUUAGAAAUCCCUUGGAUGAAAUCCAUAUGGGCUUCCCAUAGAUUUCGUCCAAUCCCCUUUCCAUUAGGAAUCCAUAGCCCAGGUGCAACUAUCAUAUAAUUGCAAUAUCCGUCCCCUUUAUUUAAUUAAUCUCUUUUAGCCACAAAAUUAAUUCUUAUUAGUUCUUGACUAAUAUUAAUUAAAGAAUAUGAUUUCUCUUUUAAUAUGUUAUUCAUAUA
rnacentral:lncRNA from 1 species